GCUUUAUUCAAUAUUGCCAAAACUUGGAAGCAUCCAAGAUGUCCUUCAGUGGGUGAAUGGAUAAAUAAACUGAUAAUCCAGAUAAUGGAAUACUGUUUAGCACUAAAAAGAAAUGAGCUAUCAAAGCUACGAAAAGAUGUGGAGAGACCUUAAAUUCAUAUUCGUAAGUGAAAGAAGCCAACCUGAAAAGGCUACGUGUAUGGUUCUAACUAUGACAUUCUGGAAAAGGCAAAGCUUCGGAGACAAUAAAAAGAUCAGUGGUUGCCAGCGGUUAAGGGGGAGGCAUGAAUAGGUGGAACACAGAGGGUUUUUUAGAAAAGUUAAAAUACUCUGUAUGAAUACUAUAAAUGUAUAUAUGUCAUAAAUUUUUUCCAAACUCAGAGAAUGUACAACACCAAGACUUUGAUAAGGAAAACUGGACUUUGGGUGAUUAUGAUGUGUCAUGUAACUUCAUUAAUUGUAACAAAUGCACCAUUCUGAUGGGGGAAUGUCAAUAAUGGGGGAGGCUAUGCCUGUGUAGGUUCAAGAGGUAUAUGGGACAUCUUUGUACCUUCCUUUCAACUUUGCUGUGAACCUAAAACUACUCUAAAAAUACAGUCUUUUUUGUUUAAAGGAAAACGGUCCCUACCUCAUCUUAUGGGGUUAAUAUAACCUUUAUUUCUAAAGUAAAUAAAAGCUAGUAAAGCUUGUGCUAGUAGAAUCUAGCACAAUAAAGAAUAAUUAUAGGCCAAAUUCAAUUAUGAGUAUAGAUAGAAAACAUCCAAACAAAAUAUUAACAAAUGAAUUUAGCAAUAUAUUUAUCAUGACCAAGUGACAAUUAUAACUGAAAUUUUGUUUAAAUAUUUAAACCAAUUUGUAUAAAAGUAACAAAUCAAAAGAGAAAAACACUUUAAUAAAUGCAGAAAUGUUUUUGAUAAAAUUCAAGAUCCAUUCAUGACAAAAUCUUAGCAAAAUACAAAGAAAAGUUAAAUUCCUUAAUUUGAUGAAGAAAAAUCUACCAAAAUCCCAUAGCAAACAUUAUAUUUAAUGGUGAAAUGUUGAAGAUCAGAGUCAGGAAAAUGAUGCCUAGCAUCACUUCCAUUCAACAUUUAGCUAGAUGUUGUAGACAGUAAUUUGACAACACAGUAAUAUUCUCAAAACAGUAAGAUGUAAAAAAAAAGUAAGGUUUGAAAAUAAGGAACUUACACACUCAUUAUUUUGAGAUGAUACACUGUUCAAAGAGGACACAAAAAUAUCUACAUUUAAGUUGCAAGAAGUGAUACAAAAUCAUUAUACCUCAGUAACACUAACUAGAAAAUAUAGUUAAAAUAUAUAUUACUUACAAUAGUAUAAAUAUGAAGUAACCAUGAAUAAAUCUAACAGGGUCCAGGCCUAUUUUGGAGAAAAUUAAAAACUUGAUUAAAAGACAUGAAAGAUGUAUACUAAAAGUAAACCAUGUUCAUGGAUAGGAAAUCUUAGUAUAUCUCCUCAAACAGAUAUUUAGACUCAAAAAAUGUUAAUAAAAAUCUCCUGUUUUUAAAAUAAAACUUGACAAACUGAUUUUAAAAUUUAAAUGGAAAGGUCUAGUUAUAAAAGUCAUUGACAAAUAAUUCUGAAAUGUAGUUUUCUUUGGCACUAGGAGAGGAUGCCUGCAGUGAUGAGUGUCCAGGGCUUCUGAGGUCCUGGUUAUGUUCUAGCUGUAAGUCUCAGUGGUAGGUACAUAGGUAUUUCUAUUACUAUUAUUACUCUGUAAACUACCCAUAUGUCAUACAAAAAAUGUGGAAAAAAUGUAUAUUUCACAGUUACAAAAAAAAAAAGGGGGGUGAAAAGAACAAAAAGAAAUUGUCUGUAAAUUCUACUGAGCACUUGAUGGAUUUCAAAGCAUAAUUAUUGACAUUCCUUGCAUUUGUCUGGGUUGGGUUUUCUGAACUCUGGAUCCCUGAAGCCAUGAAGCAUGUAUGCCAAAUUAACAGGUUUCUGAGCUGGGAAUUUUCCUCCACAGUUGGAAGAGCCUGAAGAGAGGCAGAGAAUGCUGUUUAUCACACACUUUGAACACUUUGGGCAAGUAGAGGGAUACAAAAGAGGAAUGAGAUAAUGGAGGUUAUGAGGAAGGACAGGCUGUGUUCAACCUAGGAGGCACUAUAUAGAGAAGUUUAAAAAAUUGGCAUUUGGAGUCUCAUAAGAAAUUACCUGGUUGGGGAUGGUAAAAAAAAAAUGAUGUUCAUAAUUAUAAUGAGAAGGGAUAUUCAAGUUCUGGUGAUUUGAUUUGCUUCAUUCUUCUAUUAACAAAUCUGACUUUCAGCAAUUCAUUGUCUAGGUUUUCCCCUUAACUUUCAGUUUUAAAUUCUGCUUUUCGUAUCCUUGUAAAACUCUCUAUAAAACUGCUAAAUUAUUCAACAGAUUUAUACAGCCACGCAUAUGCUUGCCCAGAGCUGGAAAAGAUAAUGAAACUAUACUUUCUGCAUUCAUGAGAUAAUUGAUAGGGAUAAUUUUUUAAGCAAUUAAAAUAGAGAGGAAAUCAAGAUCACAAAUUCAAGAAAGCAGAAGCUUCAAAGUCCUCUGCCUCUAAAAACUUCUUAACCCUCUGCCAUAUUAGAACUCUUGGAACCAGUUGUUGUUCUUUUUUCAUUCCAAACUCAGAUUUCUUUCAGUUUGUCUCUUGGACACCAAAUGACUUUUUAUUCUCACAAUUGUUAACAUUUUCUUAUUCAAAAACUGUUAUAAAACUCAGAAGAGUUCUCAGAUAGUAAGGCAAAUAGAAAAAUCUGGACUCAGUGAUCACUGAGAUUCCUAAGUCAGUCACUGUAUCUACUCAUGAAUAGAAGAGGGAAAGGAGCCUUUAUAAUCCUACCCCUGCAACUGGACCAUUUUAGAGAUACAAUAUAUCCUAAAAGUCAUCAAGUUCCAUGCUCAAAGUAGAAUUUUCUCUCCCAAGUCUGAAGAGGGCCCUUUGGCUUCAGCUUUCAACUUAAGACUUGUGUCACAGAGAGCUUGGUACUUCAAAAGACAGCUUGUUAUGCCAUUGGAGCUGUAAGAAAAUUCUUCCUUAUAGAGAGGCGUAACAGCUAUCCAGCAGGCUGACUCUGACAUCAAGUCAGAGAAAGACCAAUUCUUCAUUUAAUCCUUAAAAUAAUUGGAAAAUUUUGUCUCCUUUUUCAAGUCAUGUCCCCUGAGAAGUCAAAUAGCCCUGCUUUUGUUGCAAUUAUAUUUUCAGACCUUUCAGAUGUAGUUCAGACUAUGCCUCUCUUUGGAGAUCUAACUCCAGGGUGUCAGUGUCCUUUCUGAAGUGAGAUGUCCAAACUGAGCACCAUACUGCAGAUGUAGCCCAGAUCUUGUGGAGAACUAAGUUAGUUAUUUCCCCUUUUGCACUAAGCUUCUGAAAUCUUGUUAGUUCUGAUAGAAACUACAUCACACAGGAAGCUCAUAUAGAAAUAAUCAGGGAUUAAAAUCAGACCGCCACUGGAGCUGCUUGCCCUGAUAAAGUCACCACAGGUCAUAGGACAUACAUCCAAGAUGUGAAGUGAAAGAUCCCUGGGUCCGAGGAUUGGGCAGGAAUAUCAGGAGUUGGGACAAUUCUCUCAAUCCCUUGCCCCAGGGCCUCUUGUCACUGCUUCUCUUGGCAGAUCUGCUCUGCUCUCUUCUGACAACAUGCCCUCUUCCAGUCCUUUAUGUUUCCGUAUAACUUUGGCUUGCCUAUGCUCCAGCAUGCCAUGAAACCAACCUAGCCCAAAUUCUACAAACCUUUUAUUGAAGUUUCCCCUCCCGAGCAUCCAGCUCUGUAUCUCUCAAACUUUCGUGUAUGUCCACAAAAUCACAUAGAGAUGUCAAAAAUGCAAAGGAUGAUUCAGUUAAGUCUAAGGGAAGGAGUGUAUAUUUUAGACAAAUUCUCAGCUGACGUGGAUGCUGCUAGGCCACAUAUCACACUUUGAGCAGCAAAUAAAUCAGGAUGCAGCUGAUCCAGUUUCCCAAUUCCCAACCCCUGGUGGAAGGAAUCUGAUUAUCUUGGUUUAAUUUUGGUUUGUUCACCCCGGUCACCCUGCUCCAAUUAGCCACUGACAGGAGAAUUAUAUGGAUAAAAUACUAACACGGCCACCUUGGUCAGCCCUUUCAGCAGGACCAAUGGGUAGACUGAGUAGUUAAAAAAUGCUAAAAUGCAUCUAGGCAGGGGUCAAUUAAUACCCCAGAUAAUUUUUAUACGAAUGGUUCACUAAGCUAAGUUUUGAUUUUGUCCUUGUACAACUUUUCCAAUGGGAAAGACUGUCAUUUUCCACCAUAACUGGCAUGGUUCUGAUUUUCUUUAAAUCCUGUCCGCACAGUUAAGAUAAAUUUGUUUCUGAUGUUUGAGGUUUAUGCCUGUCAAAAUAUUCCAGAGAAGAAAUGAAAUUAUGAAUUAUCUUCUUAAAAUAGGUUUUCAUACUUUAGAUUCUAUUCUUCUGUCAUUAUAGUGAGGUUUUUGAAGAAAAGAGUUUCUCUCAGGCAGAUAUCCUAAAGGAACCCUUUAUAUUGCAUUCUUCAUCUUUGUUCCAGGCCCUGCACUCAGUGCAGUUAUAACAGUCAAAUGUCCCUUUUCAAUAUCUUCUCCAGGUGGGCCCCUAUGGCCCUUCCAGGGAUCUGUGAGUGCAGUUCCCAAACUGUGUGAAUGAUGUCUAGAGGGAAACAUUGUAGUUCAAAACCAGGACCUGUACCCUACACCCCCUGCUCACAUGACAUGCAGGACGCUGACUUCCCCACUACAUUAAGGCUACUGGGAACAAUGCCAGCAUUCUACUUUCACUCCUGAAUGAUGCUUACUCCUUGCUGGUGAUCCUGCAGUGCUUCCCCAUUCCGAUUGGCUCCAAUGUUUCUUUAGUUUCAAGUACAUAGGUAGUUUUUGGAGAUAGAAGUCCUUGAGUGAGUGUGCAGUGGAGAGGGGGUGAUGGGGAUCAAUGAGUCAGGAUAAUGAGAAGGUUCUCUGGCAUGAGACUAGAGAGGGUAAGGAAGUGAUUCUAGCUCAGGGAGCCUAGGAAGGAACCCUAAAGCAGUUCAUUUCAAGCCUGGAUUGUCAAAGUUGGUCCUAUUGUUCAAUUACUUUUUAAAAACUAGUCCUAGAAAACCAUGUGAUCUGUUCGAGGUUUGCAAGAGGUCUUCCAUUAUUCAGAGAAUUGAUAUGUUAAUUUAAUCAGAAUCUUGGCUUCCUUUCCAUCUCUUCAUUUUGUCAAUUAAGAGGCAUAGCCUCAGUAGAUGGAUUCAUUUUGUAUGCAAAGAAAAUCAAAGUGCUCUGAGAGAUAUGUUGGGCCAAAAACACACUCACCUGGAACCAUAGUAGAGAUCAAUUUCAAGCCCAUGAAAAAUAUAUGUCUUUGUGUGAGGCUGUUGGCAUCUGUAUCACUGCAUUAUGCGUAAUCUCUACCAUGUUCAUGGUGCAUCUGUUCAUCACACUGUUUAAACAAGUUUUCCAUUUUUGCCAAAUGGUAGGUAUCAAGACUGAAUCCAUAGUUUCCUCACUCUGGUUCUCUUGGCAGGAGCUUCUCUUGUCCUUUUUCUUAGCUAUCUGUAGUCUAUCUUUGGUUAUAGUCAUAGAAGUUUGACCUCUUCCCUUAGGAGGCAGUAUUGAAGGCUUAUAGUCUUAAUAUUUGCUCAAUAAUUUUUUUUGCAUCACUGUCAUUUUUUAAAAAUUUCAAAUAAACUUGUUACCAUUACUUAGCCUAAAUGUAGACCCCAUCUAGGUAGUUAAUAAGUAUAACUUUCAUGUAGAUAUUUUAAUAAGAAAAAACAUAGAUCUGAAUUCCUACCUUCUGUUUGCUUAUACACAUAUACACAGAUAUGAAGCAAAUAGCAAUGUGGGUUUCUUUUUUCCUAAAAGCAAUUAAUUUAUUAUUAAUUUUAAUGCUAGAUUAUACAAAAUGGAAGCUUGCAUUUGAAUGACAAUUCCAAAACUGAGUCUUUAUAAUUGCCUAAUUAGAGUAAUUUCUGCAUUUUACAGGCAUUGAAUUUUUGGAUACAAAAAGCAAGUAGAAAGCCCAUGUGCCAUUUUUUUUUUCCUCCACAAAUUUAAUCUAUGCUAGUAGCUAUUUAAACUCUUUCAGACUGCUGAAUAGGUGUCUUUAGUGCUUUUCUUUUCUUGAUCAAGAUAGUAAUUGUCACGUCUUAAAGCCUCAUCAUUUUGUUUAUUCUGCCUAUGUUCCAAAUCUCCUGUUCUAACUUGUUUGGUAUUGCUUGUUCUGCUGUUCCAGCUUUCUCAGUUUCUUUUGAGUAAGGACAAUCAUUUAAACCUUGUGAAUGACAGUCACUAAUUUGUCACACAAAAAUAUUUUAGUCCAAAUCACUAUUGAUAUAGGUUGUUACUGGAUUCAAAUAUUUGAUAACUGCAUAUUACAGCUUAAAGUUCCCUGCUGAGUUUUAACAGUAACUCAGGCAAACACUUCUGAAACUUACCAAGUUCCAUUAUGGUCAGCUUUGAUUUUUUUUCCAUCAUGUUCUUAAAUUAGAGACAUAUUUGAGCAACGACCAAAACUUCCAAAAGCCAAAUACCUCUCUUUUCCUAAACUAUGACUUUUCUGACGGAGAAUAGAGCUCAUUUACAAAUUUUAGUCAGUUGUGCCUUUGUUUCAGAAAAGCUUGGAAUUGAAACAAAUUGGGGGAAAUGUGUAAUUUUUGACAUGAAAAGUGGAGGGAUGGAUAUGAACCUAAACCAUAAAUUUUCCCCACAGCUUUAAAGGCUUAAACAGAGCUGGAAAAAUGUUCUUUUGCAAAGCUAGAUGUCAAGAAAAGCAAGUUUCUGCUGCAGCAGUGUUGCAGGCUGUGAACAAGGACUACUAGAGGGAGGAGAAGUCCUUUCAAGUGGCAGCUAUGUGGACAGUUUAUUUGAAUGGUUGGGUGUUUACUUUUCAUCCAACAUUUAAUUAUGGAAGUUUUCCCAAUGCAGUCAAUUGGAAAGACUUUUACAGUGAACACCCGUAAACCUACCCCCUAAAUUCUCCAUUAACAUUUUACUGUACUUUAUCACAUAUCUAACCCUCUGUCCAGCCCUUGGUGCAGCCAUCAAUUCAUCUUACCUUCAAUGCAUUUCAUCAUCUUAUUUUUAAUGUAUUGCAGAUACCAGCAUAUUUCCCUUAAAACUCUUCUGUAUGCAGGUUAUUAAUGAAAAUUAAAUAUUUGUUUAUAGUUAUUUUUCUGUGUAAAAUUGACUGAGUUUAACCAAAUGAAUACAUACACCUGUGUAACCCAAACUCCUGUAAAAAUAUUGAUCAUUAGUAUUACCCCAGAAAGCUCCCAUAUGCCUGUUCAUCCUUACUUUCUGUCCUCGUCUCAUCCCCAAGACACCACUGUUCUGAUUUUUUUCACCAUAGAUAAGUUUAAUUGUUCUAGAACCUCAAUUAAUGGAAUCACAUGGUGUGCACUCUUUUGUGUAAGACUUCUUUCACUCAGCCUAAUUUUUCUUCAUUUCUGUUGUUCUGUAUACAUUGAUAGUUUAUUCCUUUAUGUUGCUGAAUAAUAGUCAUUAUGUGAAUAGAUCACAGUUUGUUUAUCCAUUCUCUUCUUGUCUAUUUUCAGUUUUUAGCCAUUAUGAAUAAAGCCUCUAUGAAUAUUCUUAUGAAAGUCUUUUUUGUGUAAAAGAUACUUUCAUUUCUCUCAGGUAGGAUUCUGUCGGGUCAUAGGAUAGGUGUAUUUUUUAGGUUUAUAAAAAACAUUUUUUUUUCUAAAGUGGUUGUACGAUUUUAUAUUUCCACCAAUAAUGCAAUGAGUGGUUUGGUUGUCCUGCUGUCAGUCUUUUUAAUUUUACCCUUUCUGUUGAUAUGAGUGGUAUCUCAUUGUAAUUUUAAUUUGAUUUCCCAGGUGUUUAUUUUUUAUGUUUUAAGGAAAGGACAAUUAUGACAUCAAGUCCAUGAUUGCAGGUAUUCCAGGCUGGAGUCAGGGCCAAAUAAAAAGCGAGUCAACUUAAGAUCGAGUUAAAUAAAAAUAUCAAGUAAAUAAUAAUUGAGGUGGUAUAUGGAUAUAGAAAAUCUGUGAAGUGAUUCGUGAAUAAAUUUGAGAAAUACUGUUAUAGAGGAGGUCCUUUUUUCAGAUGUCCUGUAUUUCCAUGGGGUUUUUUUUUUUUGGUAUCAAGUCAAAAAAUCAACAUGUAAAAAUCUUAAAGAAAUCCUAAUGACCAUUACCCACUACAGAGUCACUGAACUCUGAGAUCAGAAUUCUGUAUGAACUUGGGGUGAAAAAGAUACCAGGCAUCACCCCUGCUUUUGAAACCAUGCUUGAAACAGUCUAAUUGUAUAAAAUGGCAACAAAGAAAACUGUAUUACAAAGGCAAAACAGCAAGGUGAAUAUUAGCACCCAUUGGAGCCAGCCUGCUGAAUUUGCCCCUCAGUUCCCCCACUUACUAUCUGUGUAAACUUGGCAAAUUAUUUACUUCUCUGCGUUUCAGUUUCCUCAUCUAUAAAAUGUGGGUAAGAACAGCAACAACUUCACAUGAGGCUGUCAGGAAUGUAUGAGCAAAACCAUGUAAACAGCACACAGUAUCAUAUAAGGGGGAGCUACUGUUACUACUGUUGAAGGAGAACCAGUCAGCCUGAUAAAGGGGAAGAUUCCUGUAGGCCCAUGAAUUCAAAUGAGGAGUGAGGCAGGUGAGUAAAUACCUCCAGAAAGCAGAAGGAUCUGUGCCUUCCGGAAUGGGCACGGCCUUGUUGUCAGCCUGGGGCUCCUUUCUCCUUCUUCUGGAAGAGCAACUUGCUCUUCCUUUGGGCAACAGCCUUUCCCAGUUCUCACCGUAGGGGAGGCUGAGCCCAUUUCUUGGCCAUGUGAUCCAGGCCUGGCCAAGCAGCAUUUCUAUCCCCAUUUACAAGGGCCAGUCCAGAGAUGGGCCCUUGAUCUCCAUCAGAAUAAUAAUACAGAAUAAUAAUACUGGGCUUUCUGCUGGGACUCUGAGAAAGAGUUACUCUUAUUUCUUUUUGCUAGAGAUGCUAAGCUCAUAAGACAUAAUGAUGGUGCAACUGAGUGUCAUUGUGCCACUCCUUGGGGAUAGCCUGCCAGAAUGGAAUCCCACAGAGAAAUGCAGCACUUAGGGAGUAAAAGUGAGAGAGGGAGAGGGAGGAAGAGGAAGGGAGAGAGAGAGGGGAGGGAGAGAAAGCGGAGGUGGGGGUGGUGUGGUGGCGGUGGGGUGUGGAUCACUGACAUCAUUUUAGCAACUAGCUCCAGCUAUAUUGAUCUGACCUUGCCAGCUAUGGACAUCAGUAUCUUUUUUAACCUGGGCCAUCUUGAGUUUAGUUUCUGUUAUUUGUAAAUGAGAAUCCUGAUGAAUACAUCUUUUAUAAUCAGGGGCACAUUUUUGCAAGAUAAUUUCCUUGAGUUAAAGGGGCUUUGCCAUGUUUAUGUAAAUAUCUUUCGCUGCUGAAACUUCCGCAGGUGUUUUGCAUAAAUUAUGAGGAGACACUGGCAGAGCCAGGUUUAUGAAAUCCCCCAGCAGAUAAGGAGACAGGUGUGAAGAGAAAUGGUGCCAAUCAGUUUACUGUGGAGCAGCCAUGAGAUCCCAGCGUAAUCUGGAUUCCACGGGCUGCGUGAGAGGGAGUGCAGCGGGAUGGGGGUGGGGGAGGGUAGGAUUCUUGGGCAAAUCUCUGCUCUGUAGAUUUUACCCUGGCCCUGCCAAUUGGAUGGGGAGAUAAGAGAUCUUCUGUUUUACUUUCCUUCACUUUUUCUCAGUCUGCCUCUCUCAAUAGUUACUAGAGAGAUACUAGACCUCCAGUCCUCAUCACUUUUUGAUAACAUUCUGUUAACAAUACUCCCUGAUCUUCCUGGUGGAAGACUCAUAAAAACAUGAUGUAAUCGUCUGAUUUCGAUUGGCCCAGCAGUCUGGAAAAAGGUGCCAUUCAGUCAUCUCCUGCACUGGCACUAAGCCUAAGAUGAGCACAUUUAUAUUUAGUGACUUUCUCAUCACAGUAUUGACAAAUAUGGCUUCUCAUUGCAAAGCUGGAUGCUUGCACUUAUUCUUGUUAACAUCUCAUGUGCUUCAAAGAGUAAUUACAGAUAAUGAGAAGAUUUAGGUUCCAAGCAUUGUGCAUAUUGUUGAGUGACGAAUGGAGGGUGCUUGAAAGGUGUCACAGAGGUUAAUCACCUAGGGCUGAAACUGCCAGCUGGUGCACAGCUGAAGGAGAUGUGGUGUGAGCUCUUGCAUGGUCCAUGCCUUCGCCACUCCACACAGGCCUCAAUUAUGGAACCCCCAAUCACUCAGGAAAAUGAAGAGGUGGUGCUUAAAGAAGUGGGUUCAGCAGAGGGGGGUGGGGGAGGGGCAAGCGCCAGUAAAAGUAACCUGGGAUGAUCGGCAAGAGUUUUCUGGCUUGGGCCCAUUCUCUCUUCAUUUAUCAUUUAUUUUUAUGUUUAAUUAAAAAAAUAUACAGACUCUGCUUAGUUGCAGGGCUGGCACAGAGAGCUGGGUAUAAAAUGAGGGUGCCCUCAGAGCAUACAGUCCAACUGGGAACUAGAAUGGUGAUGAUACCCAGUUACAGUGUGAGAUGCUGGAAUCUAAUUUCCUCUGCAAGGGUCUAGACAGACGUCCCUGAAGACCCGACACUGAAGCCGAGACAGGAAGGAGGAGAGGGAAGAGUUAAUCAGGAGGAGGCGAGCAGGAGAAAGACCCCUCUGACCACAAAAGCAGGUGAACGAACUGUUGGCCCUGGGAUGAGGAGCAGCUGGUUCCCUGGAAGAACUGAAAACAUACCAGAAAGGUUGGAGGAGAGUGAAUACGGCAGACGUAGCCGGAGCUGUGGGCUGGAGCUGGACAGGUUCCGCACCCUUCUGUCUCCUGACCCACCCCCAACAUCCACCUGGCUCCUAUUAAGCCUUGUUAGCCUGGUCCUCUGGUGCUUGGGAAGAUCUCCCUUUACCCUGGCACAGCCAGCAGUUUCCCAGUUGGGUUAUGCUGAGUUUGGACCCUAAUUCUGGGUGUGAUGGCCAGGAGGGAAUCAUGGAGGUGGGGGGCAAUGCUGAGAAAGGCAAGCGUGCCAGCGAAGCAGCUGAGAAGGCGAAAUUUCUUCAAGUAAGGAUGUGUGGGUUUGGGAAGGGGGCUCUACCUUGCGAAAAAAUGGGGAGUGGGUCUCCACUGCAGAUCCCAGGAGUUCAAGGGAAGGGAGGGAGGUUCAAGUGCAUCUGUCCAGAUAGCCCCAUCCCAAUUCUCAGGGUCCCACUUCUUCCCCAUCAAGCCCCUGACUUGGGCCUUUGCUGGGAAUCCAAUCUUCUCUCAACUUCUGCCAUUCUUACAAUUAAGUCUUCCAGCUGCAGGAGAUGAGGGUCGCUGUGAAAGCUGCCAGUUUUCUUUUUCACUCUCAUACUUUGCUUUAACUUGUUGAUGAAUAGAUCUGCCAGUCAUUUUCUCUUCUUAUUAAAUUCCCCAGUCCUUAGAGUUACUACUUCCCACAUACUUUAACUGCCUACCUCAUUGUACCAGUUGAUGAGCUCUUUCCACCUGUAUCCCAUCCCAGUGCUCCACAGGUUAAUGUCUUAGUAAUCACCGUGCCACGAGCUAGCAGCCCUCCACCCCCCCACCAGUGAUGUGACCCUCCUUUCCAACCAGCCAGGCAGUAAUGCAGAGAGUCCCAUCCUCAGCUUUGCUUCCUAGGAUCCAAUGCAAUACUGAUCCUCUUAGGUUGGAUUCUCUGGAAGGAGCUUGAUGUGGGGUUUCUUGUUCAGGCUGUUUAUUAGAAGAAUGCUUUCUGGAGAAGAGGAGUAAAAGAAGCAGGGCUAUCUCUGAAGCAGAGAGGAAAACCUCAGCAAGGGUGUGAUAUAAGCUAGAGACCAGCAUUCCGUUAUGGGAGAUCAGGGGCUGAAAUUGCACUGCAGAGUUGCCCCAGUGGACGCCCAGAAAGAGUAGGCAGCUCUCCAUUGAGUUGUUAUCAGCUGUUGAGUUGAAUAUCUAGGCCCAGGAUAGAGCCAUUCCUGCCUGGAGGGCCACAUCAGCAAACAGAAACUUAGCUUAUGUGUCCCUGUAAACACUCCGCUUGACCAGAGGGAAUCUAUCUGGUCAGCCAAUCCCCAAACGCCAAGCCACCUCUGAUCUCUACUUACUUCCUUCUUCUUUCUCACCCUACACAAGGUUGACUGGACAGCCUCAGCCAAUCUGAUGUUUUCUAUUGUUCUCUCCGUUGUUCAUUAUUUUUUAUCCUCUGAAAGCUUCCCAACUUCAGGCCCAUUUUGCAUUUCUUUGAAUGGAGAUGUCGGCUUCAUGACGUGGUUGGUCUCAUCUGGAUGGUUUUCUCUGAUCACCUUUUAAUGCAGCAGCUAGGGGAUGGGUGCUCCAGGUGGUAAAGAGAGUCAGGGCGCCAACAUCAUCAUCAUGAUGAUAGUGAUGGAUAAUUCUAUUGUAAAAGCAGUUUGUAGUUUUACCACUUAGAAAAAGUUUCCCUUUCACGGUCGUUGUGAAACAGGCUAGUUUUUGCCUCCUACUAAACACUAUGUUUCCCUUAAUGUUAAACUGUGUCUAAGUGGAAAAGCCUUUUAAUUUGAAGGGGAAAAACAAGUGAAUUUAUUUGAGUAUAGUGUUAAUAAAAACAUGUAAUGAUUUUCUCUUCUCAUUCUCCACAGGCCUCCUGAUACCUCCCCCACAUCGCUCUCCUAAGCAUGUCUGCCUGCUGGUUUCUGAGCCAGCAGAAAAGGAUACAGUAUCACAUUAUAUAUUUACAAAAACACAUGCUUCCAUAUGUGAACCAGAAUAAUAAACAUCUUGUGCAGAAAAAUCCGUUGUGUCUCAAUCACUUCACGGAAGCACCUGAGACACUGAUUUUCUGAAAGCUGCUGGGAAACUACCAGAGUGAUCCACUGAGCUAUAAAUGAGGAUCUGUUUAUAAUUUACAAGCACAUGAGUCUCAGGCAUGUUCUGAGAGGUUCAAGCUACUCUGGCCAGUCCUCACAGCAGAAGAGGAAAAAAAGGUACUUUUCUGAAGGUAACUCUCAUUUUCCUCACACUUUCUGCAUACGUGAAGGAAUUGAGGGGAAAUUUUGCAUUUAGUGAAACCCAUUUAUACUUUUUUUUAAUAAAAAUAUUGUAACAAUUGUGGUAAUCCUAGGGACAGGAAGUGCUCAAUCUUUGUUCACGCCAUCGAUUUGAGUAUUCGAAGUGAAACUUCUAAGGUCUGUGGAUAGGAGUAGCGGGCUGAAGCAUCUGGUUAAGAGGGAGACUUACACUGAAGUGUGUAAGUCUAAGACCACAAGUAGAUACGACCUUUCAGGGAAAAAAAUGCCAAAGAGGUAGAUUGCUUCCCUUGCCAGGAGACAGAAGUUUUGAACAGCUCUCAGGGGAGCAAUAACGGCCCAGCAUGGGUCUGAUUGAUUUGCAAACGGAUAGUCUACUAACUUGAAGAAAGUGUUCUAGAAAUAUUUGGAAGUUAUGGUUUCUCUGUUGAACUGCCUUGAAAAUUUAACAGUCCCCACAGGUGUGGUGUGAUCUGUGAAAAAUGUAGUGACUCAUGAGCUUUUGGAAGUAGGUGAUGAAGGGUGAUGGUGACAUGUUGAAAGGAAUCAAAAUUCUCUUUUUCUCAUCAGGAAUGGUAGCUUGGUUUAAUGCAUAAUAGCUAAUAUUUAUUGAGGACUCAGGCUGUGCCAAGCACUAUCUAAGAACUUAAAUGUAUUUACUUAAGAGGGAGGUACUAUUACUAACCACAUUUGAUAGAUAAGGAAAUUGAGGCAGGGGAAUGUCAAGUAGCCUGUAGUUCCAAAGUUGAUUAGUGAUGGAGUAAAAUUUAACCCUAGAUAGUCUGACUCCAGAGCACAUGCUCUUUACUGUUUGCUACACAGACUCCAAGGAUAUAACCAUAAUCAGGAGGAGGAAUUUGUAAGCUCAUAUCAUCCAAGUCACUCUGAAGCAAGACAGUAUCCCAGCAAAACAGUUAAGUGAGGAAUUGGAGUGUUUUCUGAUGAAUUCAGUCAGUCCUAUUGGGCAACCCAUCUAUUUUGAAAAAGUCAGGUUGUUGAUGGUGCUAAGUCCUCAGUGACUGUUUUUCAAGCCUAUUUUCCUAAACUCCCCACUUCAUUUUGUUGGUUGAGUUUGCACCAGCUAUCAAGAACCAAAGCACAGUGAUAUAAGUGAAGUAGCCUGGAUCUGACCUCGAGCAUGCUUCCCUUUGCCAGUGUGGAGUUGUAGAAGGAUUUUGGAGAGAUGUGUGUAACUUUAGUUGGGAAAAAGUUGGAGUCAACAUGACCCUCAGAGAUUGUCCAGAGAUGAGGAUCACUGAAGGUCGGUGACUUGUACAAGAUCAUACGCAGUAGUUCAGAGAGAAGCUUCAAGGGAGCCUAGGAUGUCUGCUUCCUAGAGCAGAGCUCGUUCCACAAUGGUGCCCAGUGAAUUGAAGAAGCAAACUGCCAGGCAACACUUGAGAAGUACCCUUGAAAAGGAACAGCUCUAGUGACGAGGUGUUCAUUGACAGGCAGAAUCCAAUGGUGAAAUUGUGCUGUUGGAUGUCUCCUGGGUCAUUUGGCCGGAAAGUCCUCUGGGGAAGAAUAUGUUUGGCUCAGGUUUAUUCUUUGGUGCUGGACAACAGAUGCUGGACAAUGAGGUGGCUGGGGCUGGUUGGGAUGGUGAUAAUGAGAAGUUGGCAACCAAAAUGAGAAUAUAGCAGAUUUAUUGCUUGAAAAUCUAACCCAAACCACAGUGUAAAACAGGGACAAUCAAUUGCCAAAUGCCAGGGGCCUCAAGGGAUUUGAUAUCUCGGGAAAUUAGGCCAAUUUCUUCUUCACUGACUGAGUCUUUGGAGUAUAGCAUGAUACUGUAAUCCUACUUUUGACAGUUGUGGAAUAGUUCAGUUGUGACUGAUUGAAAGUCACAGAAAAAAUACCCUGUCUCUAGAAAUUAAUUUAAACCAUCAUAGCUACAAGGACUGCAUGUUCAUGUCUCAUAUUUCCAGGCACAUAAAUAUUUAUCGACUGAAUAAAUAAAUGAGCGUCUGCUCCAGCCAGUACAUUCCAUCCCUGGCCAAUUCUUACCUAUUUUUAUGCUGAAUAAAUUUUUUAAAUUAUGAUCAAAACAAUCCUUUUAAGUUACUUGACUAAACUUUAAUUAAAUAACUGCCAGUUAGUAUCAUUUGCAUAAUACUUUUUGGACUGCUUUGUAUAAUUUCUUUCAAGUCUUGACAAGCUUUUUAACAGUGAGAGAACACAAUGGAUGUCUUAAGGUUUACA